rnacentral:lncRNA from 1 species
AUGGGAAGCCAAGUGCCAUGGAAAUCCACACAUGGACCCUGGUGCAGACAGAGGGUCAUGGAUGGUUUCUUAGAAGCAUCUUGUCCGACUGGAGUUGCGUCUCAGAAGGAUCCUGCAUUGGGUGAUAAAUGUUAUGGUCCUUCUACAUCUACAGGAUGUUCCCUUAAUGAACAACAGGUCUUUCAGACAAGAGUGUCCCUGAUCAGAGAGAGAGCUUACCAUUGGGUCACUCUGAAUUUCACUUUGAAGACCUAUGAGAAAACUCUGGGCCAUAAGUGUUUUAUGAUGCUUCUCCACUUAAAGGCAAGUAACCAUUUGCAAAUACGAAGUUAAUCCCUAACUAAGAGAAUAUCCUUGGCUCCAUUGGCAGCCUCCGUUAGCAUUCUCUAUUCCAUUUUAUUGGUAAGGGAAGUGAGGUAUGGGAAGAAAAAGUGACCCGUCCAAGGUCGCAUCAAGCAUGAGUCAGCCAAACAUAAGGAGCUUGUGGGAGCUCCAACUUUUGUUUCUUGAUUACCUCUCUAAACUGCAAAGUCAUUAGUUUGUAAUGAAAUCAACAGUGCAGUCAGGUUGGAAAGAUGUUAAUCAUUUAGAAAAUGUCUUUAUAAACUGUGGGCACUAAUAAUCUAUUUCAAAUUAUAUAAGCAAACCAAUGGGCAUACUUGGAUAAUAUUUUUAAUGGGUAUUAAUUUCAUGAUUAAUAAUAUUUUAGUUUCACUGAGUUACAGUCACUAUUUGGGGUUUUUUUGGGGGGGGGUUGUUGUUUUUGUUUUGUUUUGUUUUUUUGGUACCAGGGAUCAAACUCAGGACCUUGGAUUUGCCAGGCAGGCGCGGCACGACUGAGCUACAUCCCUGGCAGCAGUCACUAUUAAAACCUCAUGUAGUUUCGCCACCUGCUGCGCAAGCGCAAGGACCUGAGUUCGAUCCCAGGUACCAAAAAAAAAAAAAAAAAAAAAACCUCAUGUAUCAGCUCCACAUUAUCAGGGUGAAGAGAGUAUAUAUAAAAUAGGUGAAUUUAAAAUAAUCAUUUAAUCCUUCUGGUAAUUAAAAAUAAAGUCUGCUACAUUUUUACAUUUUGUAAGUAUAUCUAAAUUUCAUAUAAUGGUACAUUUAGAUAAAAUUUUGGUAGAUUAACAGAUUACAGCAAAAAAAUCUCGAUGGUGCUAAUUCAUUCUCUAUAGCAACAGAAACAAAAGCUGACUAAAUUCAUAUUUAAUAGUUUAUAUCCAAGAUGCCUGUGCAACAGAGUGACUCUACUGCUUGUAUAAAAGGAGAGGCAUAAAUGUG